AACGCACGAGACCUGCGGACCUGCGGAGGGAUCAUUAAUGAGAAGCUGCCCCUCGUGGGUAGACCUCCCACCCUCUGUGAACUUACCUUUGUUGCUUUGGCAGGCCCGUCCUCUGGACCGCCGGCUUCGGCUGGCCCGUGCCUGCCAGAGGACUCCAAACCCUGUCUGUCAGUGUUGUCUGAGUCUAUAUGAAAUCGUUAAAACUUUUAACAAUGGAUCUCUAGAUCGGAAGAGCACACG
rnacentral:misc_RNA from 1 species